UAGCGUAUAUUAAAGUUGUUGCAGUUAAAAAGCUCGUAGUUGGAUUUCUGGCUGGAGCGAUCGGUCCGCCCCGCAAGGGGUGUGUACUAGCGUCGUCUCCGACCAUCCUUGUGGGAACUGUGCGGCCGUUAACUCGGUUGUAUAUGGGAACACAUCGUUUACUGUGAAAAAAUUAGAGUGUUUAAAGCAGGCUUAAGCCAUUGAAUACAUUAGCAUGGAAUAAUAAGAUAAGACUUGGGUCAUUAUUUUGUUGGUCUGCGGAUCGAGGUAAUGAUUAACAGGGAUAGUUGGGGGUAUUCAUAUUUAAUUGUCAGAGGUGAAAUUCUUGGAUUUAUGAAAGAUGAACUUAGGCGAAAGCAUUUACCAAGGAUGUUUUCAUUAAUCAAGAACGAAAGCUAGGGGAUCGAAGAUGAUUAGAUACCAUCGUAGUCUUAACCAUAAACUAUGCCGACUAGGGAUUGGCGGUCGUUACCUAUACGACUCCUUCAGCACCUUAUGAGAAAUCAAAGUCUUUGGGUUCCGGGGGGAGUAUGGUCGCAAGGCUGAAACUUAAAGGAAUUGACGGAAGGGCACCACCAGGAGUGGAGCCUGCGGCUUAAUUUGACUCAACACGGGGAAACUUACCAGGUCCAGACAUAGUAAG
rnacentral:rRNA from 1 species